rnacentral:rRNA from 1 species
AUUGAACGCUGGCGGCGGGCUUAACACAUGCAAGUCGAGCGGAGAUGAGGUGCUUGCACCUUAUCUUAGCGGCGGACGGGUGAGUAAUGCUUAGGAAUCUGCCUAUUAGUGGGGGACAACAUUCCGAAAGGAAUGCUAAUACCGCAUACGUCCCACGGGAGAAAGCAGGGGAUCUUCGGACCUUGCGCUAAUAAAUGAGCCUAAGUCGGAUUAGCUAGUUGGUGGGGUAAAGGCCUACCAAGGCGACGAUCUGUAGCGGGUCUGAGAGGAUGAUCCGCCACACUGGGACUGAGACACGGCCCAGACUCCUACGGGAGGCAGCAGUGGGGAAUAUUGGACGAUGGGGGGAACCCUGAUCCAGCCAUGCCGCGUGUGUGAAGAAGGCCUUAUGGUUGUAAAGCACUUUAAGCGAGGAGGAGGCUACUGAGACUAAUACUCUUGGAUAGUGGACGUUACUCGCAGAAUAAGCACCGGCUAACUCUGUGCCAGCCGCCGCGGUAA